rnacentral:sRNA from 2 species
ACCACUGCUAAUCUAUACUGCUGCCAAUCUAUCUAUUGCUGCUAAUCUAUUACUGCUGUCAAUCUAUCUACUGCUGUCAAUCUAUCUAUUGCUGUCAAUCUAUCUAUCACUGCUAAUCUAUUGCUGCUAAUCUAUUACUGCUAAUCUAUUGCUGCUAAUCUAUCUAUCACUGCUAAUCUAUUGCUGUCAAUCUAUCUACCGCUGUCAAUCUAUCUACCACUGUCAAUCUAUCUACCACUGCCAAUCUAUCUACCGCUGUCAAUCUAUCUACCACUGCUAAUCUAUCACUGCUAAUCUAUCGCUGCUAAUCUAUUGCUGCUAAUCUAUCACUGCUAAUCUAUUGCUGCUAAUCUAUCUAUCACUGCUAAUCUAUCACUGCCAAUCUAUCUACUGCUGUCAAUCUAUCUACCACUGCUAAUCUAUCACUGCUAAUCUAUCACUGCCAAUCUAUAUAGAGUAAAUUAUGGUCUCAUUUGGUUCUAUUUUGUAAAAUGAGAUCAAAUGGAACUGAGAUCACUAAUUUAUUAAUAAAACAUGAUCUGGAACUAGAUUUAUAAUAUAAACAGUGUAAAGUAACUAAUUUACUAAACACUAUAUG